UACGAAGGGGGCUAGCGUUGCUCGGAAUCACUGGGCGUAAAAGGGUGCGUAGGCGGGUCUUUAAGUCAGGGGUGAAAUCCUGGAGCUCAACUCCAGAACUGCCUUUGAUACUGAAGAUCUUGAGUCCGGGAGAGGUGAGUGGGAACUGCGAGUGGUAGAGUGAAAUUCGUAGAUAUUCGCAAGAACACCAGUGGCGAAGGCGGCUCACUGGCCCGGUACUGGACGCUGAGGCACGAAAAGCGUGGGGG
rnacentral:rRNA from 1 species